CCCUUAGAUGUUCUGGGCCGCACGCGCGCUACACUGAUGCAUUAAACAAGCCUAGCCUUGACCGAGAGGUCCGGGUAAUCUUUGAAACUGCAUCGUGAUGGGGCUAGAUUAUUGCAAUUAUUAAUCUUCAACGAGGAAUGCCUAGUAAGCGUGAUUCAUCAAAUCGCGUUGAUUACGUCCCUGCCCUUUGUACACACCGCCCGUCGCUCCUACCGAUUGAAUGUGUUGGUGAGGAGCUCGGAUUGGCAGCAGUUGGUGGUUCGCCACCGGCUAUUGCUGAGAAGUCCUCCAAACCGCCCCAUUUAGAGGAAGGAGAAGUCGUAACA
rnacentral:rRNA from 1 species